GAUGAAGAACGUAGCAAACUGCGAUACUUGGUGUGAAUUGCAGAAUCCCGUGAACCAUCGAGUUUUUGAACGCAAGUUGCGCCCGAAGCCAUUCGGCCGAGGGCACGUCUGCCUGGGUGUCACGCAUCGUUGCCCCCCCAAACUCCGGUUCGGGCGGGGCGGAAGUUGGCCUCCCGUGCGUGCCUGCGCGCGCGGUUAGCCCAAAAGCGAGUCCUCGGCGACGAGCGCCACGACAAUCGGUGGUUUUUUUACCCUCGUUCCUCGUCGUGCGUGUCCCGUCGCCCGAACGCGCUCUUGUGACCCUCACGCGUCGCCUCGGCGGCGCUCCCAACGCGACCCCAGGUCAGGCGGGACUACCCGCUGAGUUUAAGCAUAUCAAUAAGCGGAGGA
rnacentral:misc_RNA from 1 species